rnacentral:lncRNA from 1 species
GACUUCCUUUUGGUGCUCGGUCUUAACUGAGUUCUGCUUAUGUGGAGCUUCAGUUAAUGACCGAUCGAUCUUUUGCUAGUAUUCAAAUGAAUAUAGCGUUCGGUCUAAUCAUAGCCUUCAGGUCUUAACCUAAUAUUUUGCCUAGAUAGAGUAUCCAAUGUAGUCUAGGUUCUCGGUCUUACACUAGUACUCUGUUUAUAUUUGGGGAUUUAGUAUUAAUU